rnacentral:rRNA from 1 species
GACGUAGGGCGCGAGCGUUGUCCGGAUUUAUUGGGCGUAAAGAGCUCGUAGGCGGCUUGUUGCGUCGACCGUGAAAACCCGUGGCUUAACUGCGGGCUUGCGGUCGAUACGGGCGGGCUGGAGUUCGGUAGGGGAGACUGGAAUUCCUGGUGUAGCGGUGAAAUGCGCAGAUAUCAGGAGGAACACCGGUGGCGAAGGCGGGUCUCUGGGCCGAUACUGACGCUGAGGAGCGAAAGCGUGGGGAGCGAACGGG